GGCCAGACUCCUACGGGAGGCAGCAGUGGGGAAUAUUGCACAAUGGGGGAAACCCUGAUGCAGCGACGCCGCGUGAGUGAAGAAGUAUUUCGGUAUGUAAAGCUCUAUCAGCAGGGAAGAAAAUGACGGUACCUGACUAAGAAGCCCCGGCUAACUACGUGCCAGCAGCCGCGGUAAUACGUAGGGGGCGAGCGUUAUCCGGAUUUACUGGGUGUAAAGGGAGCGUAGACGGCAUGGCAAGUCAGAUGUGAAAGCCCGGGGCUCAACCCCGGGACUGCAUUUGAAACUGUCAGGCUGGAGUGCAGGAGAGGUAAGUGGAAUUCCUAGUGUAGCGGUGAAAUGCGUAGAUACUAGGAGGAACACCAGUGGCGAAGGCGGCUUACUGGACUGUAACUGACGUUGAGGCUCGAAAGCGUGGGGAGCAAACAGGAUUAGAUACCCGAGUAC
rnacentral:rRNA from 1 species